rnacentral:rRNA from 1 species
UACGGAGGGAGCUAGCGUUAUUCGGAAUUACUGGGCGUAAAGCGCACGUAGGCGGCUUUGUAAGUUAGAGGUGAAAGCCUGGAGCUCAACUCCAGAACUGCCUUUAAGACUGCAUCGCUUAAUCCAGGAGAGGUGAGUGGAAUUCCGAGUGUAGAGGUGAAAUUCGUAGAUAUUCGGAAGAACACCAGUGGCGAAGGCGGCUCACUGGACUGGUAUUGAC